GAGAAACCAGGAAAGAAAUGGGAAAAAA
rnacentral:rRNA from 1 species